rnacentral:rRNA from 1 species
UUGACGCUGGCGGCAGGCUUAACACNUGCAAGUCGAACGGUAACAGNCGAGAGCUUGCUCUUGUGCUGACGAGUGGCGGACGGGUGAGUAAUGCUUGGGAAUCUGGCUUAUGGAGGGGGAUAACUGCGGGAAACUGCAGCUAAUACCGCGUAGUAUCGGAAGAUGAAAGUACGGGACCUUAGGGCCGUAUGCCAUAGGAUGAGCCCAAGUGGGAUUAGGUAGUUGGUGGGGUAAAGGCCUACCAAGCCUGCGAUCUCUAGCUGGUCUGAGAGGAUGACCAGCCACACUGGAACUGAGACACGGUCCAGACUCCUACGGGAGGCAGCAGUGGGGAAUAUUGCGCAAUGGGGGCAACCCUGACGCAGCCAUGCCGCGUGAAUGAAGAAGGCCUUCGGGUUGUAAAGUUCUUUCGGUGACGAGGAAGGCGAUUGUUUUAAUAGAACAAUCGAUUGACGUUAAUCACAGAAGAAGCACCGGCUAACUCCGUGCCAGCAGCCGCGGUAAUACGGAGGGUGCGAGCGUUAAUCGGAAUAACUGGGCGUAAAGGGCACGCAGGCGGAUUUUUAAGUGAGGUGUGAAAGCCCCGGGCUUAACCUGGGAAUUGCAUUUCAGACUGGGAAUCUAGAGUACUUUAGGGAGGGGUGGAAUUCCACGUGUAGCGGUGAAAUGCGUAGAGAUGUGGAGGAAUACCGAAGGCGAAGGCAGCCCCUUGGGAAUGUACUGACGCUCAUGUGCGAAAGCGUGGGGAGCAAACAGGAUUAGAUACCCUGGUAGUCCACGCUGUAAACGCUGUCGAUUUGGGGGUUGGGCUUUAAGCUUGGCGCCCGUAGCUAACGUGAUAAAUCGACCGCCUGGGGAGUACGGCCGCAAGGUUAAAACUCAAAUGAAUUGACGGGGGCCCGCACAAGCGGUGGAGCAUGUGGUUUAAUUCGAUGCAACGCGAAGAACCUUACCUACUCUUGACAUCCAUAGAAGAGCGCAGAGAUGUGCUUGUGCCUUCGGGAACUAUGAGACAGGUGCUGCAUGGCUGUCGUCAGCUCGUGUUGUGAAAUGUUGGGUUAAGUCCCGCAACGAGCGCAACCCUUAUCCUUUGUUGCCAGCNAGUUGNUAUGGAA